UACGGAGGGGGCUAGCGUUGUCCGGAAUUACUGGGCGUAAAGCGCACGUAGGCGGCUUUGUAAGUUAGAGGUGAAAGCCCAGGGCUCAACCCUGGAAUUGCCUUUAAGACUGGAUCGCUUGAAUCAUGGAGAGGUGAGUGGAAUUCCGAGUGUAGAGGUGAAAUUCGUAGAUAUUCGGAAGAACACCAGUGGCGAAGGCGACUCACUGGACAUGUAUUGACGCUGAGGUGCGAAAGCGUGGGGAGCAAACAGG
rnacentral:rRNA from 1 species